AGCUUUGCGCAGUGGCAGUAUCGUAGCCAAUGAGGUUUAUCCGAGGCGCGAUUAUUGCUAAUUAAAGCCAUCCCUAGUCAGGCAAUAUUUAAUAAUCAUAGACUAAUCAUCUAAUCGUCUUGGACAAUGGUCAAGCAU